rnacentral:rRNA from 1 species
AGCAGCCGCGGUAAUUCCAGCUCCAAUAGCGUAUAUUAAAGUUGUUGCAGUUAAAAAGCUCGUAGUUGAAUUUCGGGGUCAGCAGGUCGGUCGUGCCACUGGUAUGUACUGGCUUUGCUGAUUCCUCCCUCUUGACGAACCGUAAUGCCAUUAAUUUGGUGUUGCGGGAAAUCAGGACUGUUACUUUGAAAAAUUGAGUGUUUAAAGCAGGCUUACGCUUGAAUACAUUAGCAUGGAAUAAUGAAAUAGGACGUUCGAUCCUAUUUUGUUGGUUUCUAGGAUUGACGUAAUGAUUAAUAGGGAUAGUUGGGGCAUUAGUAUUCAAUUGUCAGAGGUGAAAUUCUUGGAUUUAUUGAAGACUAACUA